UAUGAAAGGAACUUGGUCUGCCUGUUCAAAUGGCAUCAGAAGCCGUGAGGAUACUUUGAGGGUUUCCCAUUCAGUUUCAAACUGCAACAACACCAGAACUAUUCACAAAAAAUGUAAAAAUGUUUGCCGUUACAACAAAGGUCCAUGGUCAGAUUGUGUCAACGGUGAAAAAUCACGAACCGAUACUUUGAAAAUACCAACUCCAGGCUGUGAAGCAACACGACCUGCCACCAAAAAAUGUAGACCAGCUUGUCGAUAUUCAAAGGGAGAAUGGACACCUUGUGAAAAUGGUGAAAAGAAGCGAACCUUAACCCGACUAGAAGGUGAUGGACCCGAUUGUCCAGCCACCAAGGCAGUAAGCAAACAAUGUUCACCUCAAGCCAAGAAAACCAAACAGCCUCGAAACAAAAAUCGAAAGACAAACUCAUCAUCAAUCACUCCAAGCCAAGCAUAUUAAACAUCUUAACCUGACUCAUUGCGCCGCACUUAUUCCUUCACACAUAAUCUGAUUCAAAAAGAAACAAAAAUUCAAUUCUAUUCACCCAAUCUUCACCAAAUCCUUUAGUACAUCUUUUCCAUUUUAUCCUCGAGACAACUUCCACUAUUACCUGAUUUCAAAUGUUUUUCAUCAACGUUCCCGUUUACACCAAAAGAAACCUUUUCUUUUCUAAUAUUUAUAGCAUAAAACUAUGAUUUUACUUUGAUAAUUUCAUGGUAAAAUUUCCCUGUAUCACCGAAGAGAAGAAUCUAUCGAAUCGAAGCGGCAAAUUUAGCAACUGUGGGUUUAUUUUCUUCUCAAAAGCAAUGGCAAGUUGAUCAAGUGAUGUCGAUAAAAGAUGAAACCAAAAUGUCAUCAUUUCUUCCAGUUUUUUUUUCCUUUUUCUCUUAUAUUUCUUAUUCUGUAACACAUUAUUGUUUCUAUUCAAUACAAUCUUUUUUUACUCUUAACCAAAAUAUUCAACAACGAAAAAAAAGAGUUGCUGUGAAACAAAAUAGAGACAAAACUGGGAAACUCUCAAGCUCAAAGGAGUAAAUGAAGGCCAGAAAAUAUGAAAGACUAACAUUGCGACAAAACAAGAUCUUCUCAUCGAGUCAUAACUGCGAAUUACCAAGAUUUACAUUCAAUUUUUCUCAUAAUUCAUUUGUUUUCUCUUUUUUCUUAUCAAUAUUCUUACUCUCAUUUUCUCUAGCUUUUGUCUC
rnacentral:lncRNA from 1 species